AGGGACAUUUCCUAGACAGCACAGACAAGGCACUAAGUGCAGACUUUGUUUCUUUAGGUCAGGCCUGCAUGGUAUGACUGAGAGUACCUGGAGUUUCACUUUCACCUAUGGCGGAACUAUAUUUUUAGAUCCAUAUAAAAACAGGCAUUAUCCGAAGAGGGGCAAAUUACUAAUUAUCAUUUGCUACUGAUAAAAAGCUUAAAAUGUAUUUGAAUUUAUCUUAAUAUUAAUCAUCAGCCUGAGGAAUUUGACAAAGGAAUUCACUUUAGAUUGGAAUUAGUUUUCUUUUUGUUUUCCAGUUGCCAGUUAUUGGAAAGUGUUAAAGGAAGAUAAAAAAAUUGGUUCCAAACAAGGGAGAGGAAAGAGCUGCAGUGCUACCCAGGGCAGUAUAAGAGUCCUGGCUGCCCAGAGGAGGGAGAAGUGUAGGUGAGCAGGGAAAAGAGACUUCACUGUAUAGACAGAGAUCACAGAUAGAGAGCUGGGACAACUCCAUUUUCCCCACAGCUGGCCUGGCUUACAUUUUUCCUCAGGACCACUACAGGACAGGUUUACACAUGAGAAUGAUUAAGAGAACCUCAUGAACAGAAUCUUGAAUAAUAAGAGAUAUGCUGGUAAUUGAGACAAUCCUUUACCUGAUACCUCUUUUAACUAUAAAAAUAUUAUUACCCCUAUUUCAUUUCAUAUGAUUUCAACAAAAUGUGCACAAGCCCUAGAAACCUAUAUUUCCUCCAUUCCCUCUUCCUAAAAGAUUUUGUUUAACUUUUCCCCAUUACCUUUGAAUUUUUCUCUCCUGGAGCCAGUAACUGCCAAUUUUAUCUCUGUAUGAUUUGCCAGUAGCAAUGAAAGUUAGAAAACAAAGGUUUAUUAUUUAGAAGAGGAGAAUAUAUGCUAUUUUUUAUUGCUGUUUUUUUCCAAAAUGUAAUUCUUUUAUUGAGCUCCAAGACUGUUGUAAAGUUUCAAGGUGACAUUGGGCCCAAGAUUAGCCUCCUAGGGCAGCCCCGGUGGCGCAGUGGUUUAGCACCGCCUGCAGCCCGGGGCGUGAUCUGGAGAACCUGGAUCGAGUCCCACGUCAGGCUCCCUGUAUGGAGCCUGCUUCUCCCUCUGCCUGUGUCUCUGCCUCUCUCUCUCUCUGCAUCUCUAUGAAUAAAUAAAUAAAAUCUUUAAAAAAAAAAAAAAAAGAUUAGCCUCCUAACAACCCCAAUGAUACGAGAGAAACAGGCCUCAAGUCUUUGGUUG